rnacentral:rRNA from 1 species
GACGAACGCUGGCGGUGUGCUUAACACAUGCAAGUGGUGCGACGAACCAGAGCUUGCUCUGGGGCAAAGCCGCGAACGGGUGAGUAACACGUGGGUAAUCUACCCCGAUGACCGGGACAACCCGAGGAAACUCGGGCUAAUACCGGAUGUGGUGCGGAGACAUAAGUCUCUUCACUAAAGGUAGCUUCGGCUUCCGCAUUGGGAGGGGCCCGCGGCCCAUUAGCUUGUUGGUGGGGUCAAGGCCUACCAAGGCAACGAUGGGUAGCUGGUCUGAGAGGACGAUCAGCCACACUGGAACUGAGACACGGCCCAGACUCCUACGGGAGGCAGCAGUGGGGAAUCUUGCGCAAUGCGCGAAAGCGUGACGCAGCAACACCGCGUGAGGGAAGAAGGCCUUAGGGUUGUAAACCUCUUUCAGAUGGGACGAAGGUUCUCCGGUGAAUAGCCGAGAGGAUUGACGGUACCGUCAGAAGAAGCUCCGGCUAACUACGUG